GAUCAUUACGUAAAACUUGGCAUGCAGUGGUGUAAGAGACCCAUCCCCAACAACGUCAACCUGCAGAAGGAAAAGCUAGUUUUCUUCAAUCGAAGGUCAUGGAGAUCAUUACGU